UACGUAGGCAGCAAGCGUUGUUCGGAAUUACUGGGCGUAAAGAGUGUGUAGGCGGUGCUCUAAGUCUGCUGUGAAAUCUCCCGGCUUAACUGGGAGGGUGCGGCGGAGACUGGAGUGCUAGAGUGUGGGAGAGGUAAGCGGAAUUCCCGGUGUACCGGUGAAAUGGGCAGAUAUCGGGAGGAACACCAGUGGCGAAGGCGGCCGACUGGGCCGAUCCUGACGCUGAGACCCGAAAGCCAGGGUAGCGAACCGG
rnacentral:rRNA from 1 species